rnacentral:rRNA from 1 species
CCUACGGGGGGCUGCAGUAAGGAAUAUUGGACAAUGGGCGGAAGCCUGAUCCAGCCAUGCCGCGUGAAGGAUGAAGGCGCUCAGCGUUGUAAACUUCUUUUGGAUGGGGACAAUAACCUCCAUUUAUGGGGGCUUGAGGGUACCAUCAGAAUAAGCACCGGCUAACUCCGUGCCAGCAGCCGCGGUAAUACGGAGGGUGCAAGCGUUAUCCGGAAUCACUGGGUUUAAAGGGUGCGUAGGCUGUUAGAUAAGUCAGUUGUGAAAUUCCCCGGCUUAACCGGGUGGACUGCGAUUGAUACUGUUUAACUUGAAUGAGGUUGAGGUAGGCGGAAUGUGGCAUGUAGCGGUGAAAUGCUUAGAUAUGCCAUAGAACACCGAUUGCGAAGGCAGCUUGCUGGGCCUUCAUUGACGCUGAGGCACGAAAGCGUGGGGAGCAAACAGGAUUAGAUACCCCGGUAGUC